rnacentral:miRNA from 1 species
CAUACCAUUUGAAAAAGUAGACCACCCAAGGUAUUGCAAGUGGGGUAUGUCCAGUCUUUUGUAGUAGCCACUUAGUCACAAACACUGGCCAAAGUUCGCGUUCAUAUUUGUUUUUGUGUGAAAAAGGAAAAAACAAAUAUUUGGCCAGUGUUUGUAACUAAGUGGCUACUAAAAAUAACUGGACAUACUCCACUUGCAAUACCUUGGGUAGUCUACUUUUUCAAAUGGCAUG